UGGGGAAUAUUGCACAAUGGGCGCAAGCCUGAUGCAGCAACGCCGCGUGAAGGAAGAAGGUCUUCGGAUCGUAAACUUCUAUCGACAGGGAAGAAAGAAAUGACGGUACCUGAAUAAGAAGCCCCGGCUAACUACGUGCCAGCAGCCGCGGUAAUACGUAGGGGGCAAGCGUUAUCCGGAAUUACUGGGUGUAAAGGGUGAGUAGGCGGUUAGGUAAGUCAUAUGUGAAAUCCCGGUUCUUAAGGCCGGGACUGCAUAAGAAACUAUCUGACUAGAGUACAGGAGAGGUAAGUGGAAUUUCUAGUGUAGCGGUGAAAUGCGUAGAUAUUAGGAAGAACACCAGUGGCGAAGGCGGCUUACUGGACUGAAACUGACGCUGAGUCACGAAAGCGUGGGGAGCAAACA
rnacentral:rRNA from 1 species